rnacentral:rRNA from 1 species
UACGUAGGUGGCAAGCGUUUGUCCGGAUUUAUUGGGUUUAAAGGGUGCGUAGGUGGUCUAUUAAGUCAGUGCUGAAAUAUCCCGGCUUAACCGGGAGGGUGGCGUUGAUACUGAUGGACUUGAGUAAAGUUGAGGUGGGCGGAAUUGACGGUGUAGCGGUGAAAUGCUUAGAUAUCGUCAAGAACACCUAUUGCGAAGGCAGCUCACUAAGCUUUAACUGACACUGAGGCACGAAAGUGUGGGGAUCAAACAGG